rnacentral:rRNA from 1 species
UAUGGUAAUUGCCAGCCGCCGCGGUAAUACGUAGGUGGCAAGCGUUAUCCGGAAUCAUUGGGCGUAAAGGGUGCGUAGGUGGCGUACUAAGUCUGUAGUAAAAGGCAAUGGCUCAACCAUUGUAAGCUAUGGAAACUGGUAUGCUGGAGUGCAGAAGAGGGCGAUGGAAUUCCAUGUGUAGCGGUAAAAUGCGUAGAUAUAUGGAGGAACACCAGUGGCGAAGGCGGUCGCCUGGUCUGUAACUGACACUGAGGCACGAAAGCGUGGGGAGCAAAUAGG